rnacentral:rRNA from 1 species
GACGUAGGGUCCAAGCGUUGUCCGGAUUUACUGGGCGUAAAGAGCGCGUAGGCGGCUCGGUAAGUGUGAAGCUAAAUCUCUGGGCUCAACCCAGAAACUAUUCGCAUACUGCCAAGCUGGAGUGAUGAAGAGGUUUGUGGAAUUCCUGGUGUAGCGGUGAAAUGCGUUGAUAUCAGGAGGAACACCCAUGGCGAAGGCAGC